GUGAAUCAUCGAAUCUUUGAACGCAAAUGGCGCUUCCUGGCAUCCCGGGAAGUAUGCCUGUUUGAGGGUCAGUAUUAAUAAAAAGUCGGUUUAGAUACAAAAUGUGACUUUUCCGGAGUUUGGGGUAUCUUAACAUUUUUGGUUAUGAGGCUUAAAAUUGACCUUUUUUGCGCAUUGUUAAACGUACAUUAAUUUUGUUUAUUCGUCUAUUCUUUAUGCCUAAAUCUUAUUAGAUGCGAUCAUAUUUUGUGUCUUCGUGUACAUAAAAUUA
rnacentral:misc_RNA from 1 species